CGAACGCUGGCGGCGUGCUUAACACAAGCAAGUCGAACGGAAAGGCCCUGCUUUUGUGGGGUGCUCGAGUGGCGAACGGGUGAGUAACACGUGAGUAACCUGCCCUUGACUUUGGGAUAACUUCAGGAAACUGGGGCUAAUACCGGAUAGGAGCUCCUGCUGCAUGGUGGGGGUUGGAAAGUUUCGGCGGUUGGGGAUGGACUCGCGGCUUAUCAGCUUGUUGGUGGGGUAGUGGCUUACCAAGGCUUUGACGGGUAGCCGGCCUGAGAGGGUGACCGGCCACAUUGGGACUGAGAUACGGCCCAGACUCCUACGGGAGGCAGCAGUGGGGAAUAUUGCACAAUGGGCGGAAGCCUGAUGCAGCAACGCCGCGUGCGGGAUGACGGCCUUCGGGUUGUAAACCGCUUUCGCCUGUGACGAAGCGUGAGUGACGGUAAUGGGUAAAGAAGCACCGGCUAACUACGUGCCAGCAGCCGCGGUGAUACGUAGGGUGCGAGCGUUGUCCGGAUUUAUUGGGCGUAAAGGGCUCGUAGGUGGUUGAUCGCGUCGGAAGUGUAAUCUUGGGGCUUAACCCUGAGCGUGCUUUCGAUACGGGUUGACUUGAGGAAGGUAGGGGAGAAUGGAAUUCCUGGUGGAGCGGUGGAAUGCGCAGAUAUCAGGAGGAACACCAGUGGCGAAGGCGGUUCUCUGGGCCUUUCCUGACGCUGAGGAGCGAAAGCGUGGGGAGCGAACAGGCUUAGAUACCCUGGUAGUCCACGCUGUAAACGGUGGGUACUAGGUGUGGGGUCCAUUCCACGGGUUCCGUGCCGUAGCUAACGCUUUAAGUACCCCGCCUGGGGAGUACGGCCGCAGGGCUAAAACUCAAAGGAAUUGACGGGGCCCCGCACAAGCGGCGGAGCAUGCGGAUUAAUUCGAUGCAACGCGUAGAACCUUACCUGGGUUUGACAUGGAUCGGGAGUGCUCAGAGAUGGGUGUGCCUCUUUUGGGGUCGGUUCACAGGUGGUGCAUGCCUGUCGUCAGCUCGUGUCGUGAGAUGUUGGGUUAAGUCCCGCAACGAGCGCAACCCUUGUUCACUGUUGCCAGCACGUUAUGGUGGGGACUCAGUGGAGACCGCCGGGGUCAACUCGGAGGAAGGUGGGGAUGACGUCAAGUCCUCAUGCCCCUUAUGUCCAGGGCUUCACGCAUGCUACAAUGGCUGGUACAGAGAGUGGCGAGCCUGUGAGGGUGAGCGAAUCUCGGAAAGCCGGUCUCAGUUCGGAUUGGGGUCUGCAACUCGACCUCAUGAAGUCGGAGUCGCUAGUAAUCGCAGAUCAGCAACGCUGCGGUGAAUACGUUCCCGGGGCUUGUACACACCGCCCGUCAAGUCAUGAAAGUUGGUAACACCCGAAGCCGGUGGCCUAACCGUUGUGGGGGAGUCGUCGAAGGUGGGACUGGUGAUUAGGACUAAG
rnacentral:rRNA from 1 species